rnacentral:lncRNA from 1 species
CUAAGAACCCUGAUUGACCAGGAAGAAAAAAAAUUAAGUCUGAAUCAUGUCCCUCAAGAGCUUGGCACACACGUGAUUUCAAUACAGUCCGUGUUCUGGAGGAAAGACGGGACUCUUGGAGCUUCAGUAAGGAACACAAAGGCCUUUGACUGCAAGGAACUCAGUCUACUGGGAGAGAUGGAUACAUCAACAGAAUCAUCGAAAUGCCUUUCCUUUAAAGCAAAGACCAUUCAGAAUCAAAGGCUCAUUUCCUGGAAAUACAGGGCUGGACGGCAGCCAUCCCUCAAAUGAGGCCCCAUGGAGAAGACUUGGAAAUGCACGCUCCCAACUCAGGUUUCCAGUGGAUGCAUAUUAAACCCCAAGGACUGGAAGCUGAGGUCAUGGAUUGCUUUCUCAUUGCUGUCAAGGUGCCCAAAAAAAAGAGACACUGUUUGCACCCCCGGGCUCACUGGUUCAGUCUUUCUCCUUCUUCCCCGGCUUCUCACCACUCCUCAUGCACUGUCAGUGGAAGCCCUGCCUCUACCUGCAAUAGGAAACUGAGCCGAGAGACGGUCCCCUUACGGCCUCUAACCUGCGCAUCUCAGGCACGAGAUCCUCUCCCUUCAGCAUUCCUGCCUUCCUUAUUCCCUGUGUCCUGGGACCUCUGCACACCUUAUCUCCAGCCCUGUUUGGCAUCGACAUUCUAA